CAUUGCGGCCAUACCGCCUUUGCGAUCCCUGAUCCCGUCAGAUCUUAGAAGCUAAGCAGGGAAGGGCCUGGUCGGUACUUGGAUGGGAGACCGUUUGGGAAUACCACAGGGCAGCUGUGG
rnacentral:rRNA from 1 species